GUACCCAAGUUGUUCUGGUCAUAAAACACAAGGUGUGUCAUUGUGGGGACACAGUGAGCAAUGUACCUGCCUGUCUGUGUAUCAGAUAUGUCUUGCCAAACACAGGCAAAGCGAAAUGUCCUGGGAAGGCAAACAGCCUCCUCCCUCCUGUACCAGAGAGCAGGAUCACUGUGCUCUACCUACACUCCAGUGUCCCUGCUGAUGGCCAUGAGUGAUAACAUGUAUCAUGGGUGUCCCUGUGAGUGAAGAGCAUCUGUCCCUGGAUGUGUAGGUGCUGUAGGGUCCCUAGCGUGUAGCUGGGCCAUGUUAUUGUCUGUCCAGGGAACAGGCUCUUAGGAGGAGUGAGAUUUCCCAGCUCAGGGUUCUGCCGUGUUUGUGCCCCUAACAUCAAGGACUGGGAUCUGGGGUUGGUCCUUCUGCUCCAAGCUCACUGUGUGAGGCCAUCUGAUUGCCCUGGAGUGUAGCUAUCAAUCUAUCACCAAGGCUCAAAUGCAAACGGUGGAGGCACUUACUUUCACACAUAUACCAUCCAGUUUCCCAGCAUGCCAUUUGGUUUUGCUUACAACGCCACUUCCAGUGAGUUCAGAGUUUCAUUCACAGCCAGGAGCAGUGUUCACUGGAAUUGGCCUUUGCUCUGUCUAUGGCCUUCUACAUGGAGCAGUUCAUUCAGGCUCUUGCUAUCCCAAACGGUUAGUGGUGUGGAAUUAGUGUUAGCAACAUCUGGCUUGAUACCGACUUCUGCUCGUCACUAUGCCCGGGGCAGGCCACUUCACCUGGCUGAACUUCUGCUUCUUCCCUACAGGGUGUUCUGGUGCCUCACAGGUCAGAGGUCAGUGAAGAGGCAUGCGUGUGGUGGUACUCAGGGCCAGUACAAUGCUGGCCUCCCUCAGGGGAGGGUGAAGGUGCCACUAGAUCUGCCACUUGUUCUGUCCCCUGAUACUUUGAUAUCCUAGCUGUCCUGCAUCAUUUUGACCUUCAUCAUUAUCUUCCUCAGCCUCUGGUCCAGGAGCCCUUUCCAUAGCAUCAGCUCACUUUUUCCUUGGUCCUCCUUGUUAGAUACUCAGGAACUGAUUUGCUGUAUGCUUUCUGUGUCACUUGCUUAACACUUCACCAAUCUGGGGCACAGCACCCCUGUGGACAUUUACUUCUCUUUCUGGGCCUUCACUGGGCCUAUGGUUUCUUUUUUCCUGUAUCUUCCCUUCCCUGCAAAAGUGUGUGUGUGUGUGUGUGUGUGUGUGUGUGUGUGUGUGUGUGUGUGUGUGUGUGUGGUAUAUAUGUGUGGUAUGUUUGGGGUAUGUGGGUAUAGAAUGGUGAUGUAUGUGAUCUGUACAUGGUGUGUUGUAUAUCUGUAUGGCAUUUAUGAUAUAUGUAUAUAUUAUAUGUAAUAUAUGUGUCUAUGAUGUGGCAUGUUUUGUGUACACAAUGAGUCUGGUAUGUCUGGAACAUGUAGUAUAUGUGGUAUGUAUGUUAUAUGUGGUAUAUAUGGUGAAUGCAUCUAUACUGGAAGUGUGUGGUAUGUGGUAUAUAUGCUGUAUGUAUGUCUGUGUGUAGUGAUAUGUAUUAUGUAUGUGGUGUGUACAUGGUAUGCAUAAUAUGUAUAUUAAAUGUAUGCAGCAUGUAUUGGUAUUUGUGUUAUAUGUAGUGUAUGUGGUAUGUGCUUAUAGUGGUGGUUUUUAUGGUAUAUGGUGAGAAUAUGAUAUGCAUCUGAUGUAUAUGGUAUAUAUAUAGCAUAUAUGGCAUGGAUAUUUGGCAUGUGGCAUAUAUAAGGCGUAUGUGACAUGUAUGUUAUAUGUAUAUGGUUUAUAGUAUUAAUGUAGUAUGUGUCUCAUGGUGUAUGGUAUGUGUAAUAUAUGGUAUGUGUGUUGUAUGCAGUGCAUGUUAUAUAUAGUAUGUAUGUGGUAUCUGGUAUGUGCAGUAUCUGUGGUAUAUGUUUAAUACGUAUGGUGUAUUUGUGGUGUGUGUGUGCUGAUUCUACAGAGGAAAGUAUGAAUGAAUGUGGGUGACGCCACAUAGCAGUGGGAGUGCUAGGUGACAUCUCACCGUGUGUGUGUGUGUGUGUGUGUGUGUGUGUGUGUGCGCGUGUGCAAACUAGGCUCUUGGGCUGUGUGUGAACUGAGGAUAAGGAGUGUAAGGAAAUGGAGUGUGAAGUGUCUCUGCUCAUGCCAUAUGUAAAUAUCUGUGUGUGUGUGUGUGUGAGCGGGUGCGUGUGUUGUCUCUGUCAUGAGACUGUGUGGUACAGUAUGAAAAAGUCAUGUGAGCACAUGUGCAGGAAGGCCAGCAUCCAGGUGCUAUGUACAAGUAUGUGCAUGACACUAUAUGAAUGUGCAAAGGGGAUCUUGGUGUCUAUGUGGUGGAUGUGCAGGUAGUACUCCCCAGAACCCAUGGCAGUUAUAUGGCAUGCAGGAGCCUCUACUGGUGGCAUUCAGCCCAUGUGUGUGCCAGCCUGUGAAUGUGUCAUGAUAGAGUGUGAUUGUAAAGGGCUGUGUGUGUGUGUGUGUGUGUGUGUGUGUGUGUGUGUGUGUGUGUGUGUAACAGACACAGGUGAACUGCUUAGGGUUAAUGGCCAGGGACCAGCUAGCCAGUCUUUAUUUUAUGCUGCUGGGGCCUCACUUAGCUCUGUGCAGAACCUGUCAGGGCAGGAGCGAGUGAGUCUCCUUUUGUGCAGAGCUCUGACCAAGUCCCUGCCCAUUCUCUGUCCCACAUGGUUGUAGUGGAGAAUUCCCACAGCCUCUGAGCGAGAGUUACACUCAGGGCCUGGGAGAGGUGGUCAGAGGACGAGCGCUGGACUGGAGCAGGCAGAGAAGGAAAGCACCCUGAGUCUAGGCUGCUUGGUUGCUCUGAAUAGGAACUGGGCUCUCUACUGUUCUGAGCCGGGCUCUCCUCAGUUCUCUCCGCUUCUUCCCUAAUGAGGUUCGGAGACAUGAAGCCGAUGACAGUGGCCUUUCUUCUCCGUCAUAUUCUGAGAUCUGUGGAGAUCUUUGUCACCAGUGUCCUGACGAACGUUCUUUCUCAAGAAAAAAAAAAUUUGUUGAAUGAAUUAACGACAGAUAAGAACAUCUAUAGUUGCUUGGGGGGGGAAGGCAAAAAUAUUUGAAAUGUUUUUAUUCUACAACACAUGAGAUAAAGCAUGUGGCUACACUAGGGGAGAGUGUGUGUAUAUGAAUGUGUGCACCCAUGAGUGUGAAAUAUACAAGGGUAGAGGCAGACAGCCCCUCCCCUCUAGCUAUGGCUAUCCCUGGAGCUGAGGUUUCUAGGCUGAUCAUAACUUUCAUGGUUUGGUCUUCCGGGCUGUUAGAGAGAUGGGGUACAGUGUUGGUCUAGGGUUUCUGUUUUCCUGGGAGGGGCACCUCUCCUUUUGGGGAAUUUGUAGCAGCAGCUAAGCAGACAAUUGCUUGUCAGCUUGAUUGAAGGCUUUUCAAAAUGUCUUCCACGGAACACCCUCCCAUCCCCCCAGUGAGCAGAUUAUCUGAGGUGGAAAUGUUUCUCCCUCUGCUUUUUUCCCCCCUUCCUCAAAGUAGUAAUUACUGCCCAAGUAGCCCUCCUUGGCGUUUCCUGUCGUUUGGAGGCUGAAGCCAGCGGCUGUUUCCUCUGCUGGGUGACGGACAAGCAGGCCAAUUAGGGGAGCACCCCGCCCCCAGCUUGGCCCUGAGCCCCAAGGGCUCCUGGUGGCCUCCGUGGGAGCUGAAGGGCCAGGGAGGCUUUGCUUCUCCAGUGGGGACUGGAUGGCUGACCAUUAGUACCCUUGGCUCUCUUCCAAGUCCUGAGGCUUCACUGACCCUGAUCUCCACACCCCUUUCGCUUCCGAGGGAGCUUGAUCUGUCCUCAGCUGUAGCCACAGUGCUGGGCAUCUUCAAGUUAGCUGACGGACAAACAGCUGGAAGACAAAGAAGGAUCACCAAAUGCUAAUUGAUUAAGUGACAGGCCUGAGUGUGUCCGCAGCACAGGGCUUUUCACUUUGCAUGUUUCCAAAAUAUUCUUUAGAACACGGGUUACGGAAAUUGGCAGGGCCACUCUACGGAUCCCACCCACCCAUGCUCAGAUGCGUAACCUCCAGUAGCCUUGUGGUUUUAAAGCUUUCCGUCCUUCCCCUUCUCCUUCCUCUGCCUCCCUCCCCUACCUCUUUUACUAUCUCUACCUCUAGCUUCCUAAGCAUCCUCCUAGUCACAGAAGCCAAACCCGAGAGGGGUAGAGCCUAAAGUGAAGGAGAGGCUGAGAUAGCUUGACCUUACUCACUGCGUGCCUCAGCUCACUCAUCCAUGAAGUGAGGUUAAUAACGACAGAAUCUUCCUAAGGAUGGGACGAGGGAAUUCACACGAAGAGCUUAGCACCAAGCUCAGACUCUCUUGUCUGUACUGAACACAGGUUUAAGAAGCAGAAGAUACAGCAGACUUCUUCUAGGGAUGCGUGCUGAGGAGAGAGGAGGGAACGAGUGAGUGACCAAGGCAGGAAUUGUGUGUUUGGGAGUCUCUGGGGAUCCAGGGUGGCUGGAAUCGAUUCAGUGGUGAAUCGUGGAAGGGUGGCGGUGGGCUGGAACUGGGACCACAGUACUGUGAUUAAGAGCAUUGUCCCUGGAUCUGAGAUAGUCCAGCUCCAAUUCCAGCCACUUACCAACCAUAUGUGAUUCCCGUCAUUUCCCCACAUGUGACAAGGUCCUCACAGUCCCUGCUUUGGGAGACAGAAUACCUGAGUUAGUAAACAAGAGAACUGCUCUGUGGGAAAGUGGGGGUACACUUACAGCUCUUGUCCCAUGCGAACAUGUUUUGCAGGAGCUUGCAUGCGCGUGGGUGGCUCACGGGCCGGCCUGCGGCCAGCAGUAGUUCACAUGGUGUAUUUGUAUCUAUCUGUAGGUGUGUGGCGGAGCCAGGCCACAGGGAAUCUAUUGAGGCUUUGGGGGAAAGGUUGAUCUAGUCCGAGAAGUCCUUUAUGGAGACAGGAUGCAACCAUUACCUCAAAUAGUGGGGACUAGGAUUUAUAAUCAAUAAUGUGUAGGAAAGCUGCAUCUCCAUUCUCCCCCUCGUAUAACUUCAGUAGAAAACCUAUUUCUAGCAGGUUGGUGAGCUUGGUAAUGUCUGUCAUUGUCCUGUUUGUGCCUCUACCAGGAAGGCAGAUGGCUAAGCAAGAGUUAAUGUGGCCAGGCCGGCAGUGGGUGGUGUCUGCUAACAGCGGCAGGCAGGUCAAGCCUCCUAGAAGUGUUGGAAGCAGAGGGAAGCAGGGUAGGGAAGUUGUCAGUGGCCUUCAGAUAAGAGGACAUUCGACCUUGGCUGAGACCAAGGUCCUCCUCUGGAGGCCCCCAGCGUGCCAGCACAGCCCCAGGGGAGGGUAUGGAAGUCUCCUUGCCUGCAGUGGCUCUGCUCAGCCAGGGCUGGACAUUGGGCCUCUUGUUAUCUGCUCAUGCCACAUGCAGGCAAGGCAUGCUGGGCACAUAAGACUUGGCUGGCCUGCAGGAAGCUGGAAGAGCUUCUGUCCCUCUGGGGUCAGAGGUGACUGGAAUUUGGCAGUCAGGGACAUGGGAACUUCCUGUGACCCUCCCAGAGCUGAGACUGGCAGCAGGAACCAGACGGAGCUCGUGGUCAAGAAAUGACAGAAAGAUGAUUUGCGUGGCCACUUCCUUGUAAGAGCCACGUGGUGAGACUGGAUUUUGUGGUGUAUGUGCUUAAAAUACGCAUGCACUCAUGUAUGUGUUUGUGUGGCUAUGUGUUCUUAUGUGUACAUGUGUUUGUGUGGCUAUGUUGAGUGUGAGAAGGCACGAGUUCAGGGUUUGUAUUUGAAUUGCUAGAUGGAUGUGUGUGGGCUCGAGUUUCUCUAUCUGCUUUGGUAAAGAUGCUCUUGGCACAUAUAUGAAGCACAGGUGUAUGUGUGUACAGCCAUGUAUACUUGUGCUUAUAAGCAUGCAUUUGGGUGAGUUUUAUGUGAGCCUGUGUUUUGGAUACUUGUAUUAAAUGUGUAAGGAGGAGUAUGGAACACAUGUGUAUGAAUUCAUAGCACGAUUUCAGUGUGUGUUAUGCAUGUGUGUACAUACAUGCGUGUAUUGCGUGUGUGUGUGUAUGUGUGUGUGUGUUUUGCAUGUCCCAAAAAUCUAUCUUAGAAUCCAGCAAGAUGAAGCCACUGAGGGAGAGGAUUAAGAGCCACAACACUGGAAACACCUGGCCCUUCGUAUGGCCUUGGAGUCUUCAGAGAGGGUUUUGUGUUUCUUCCUUGCUCUCAAACGUGCCACCUGGCACUCACAUACACAAUCACUACACAUCCUGUUAGCUGUGACUCCCAGCUCAGCACAGGUCUGUAAUCAAAAGUGGGCACCUGCAAGCAGUGGCAGGUGAGAGGUUUGGCUUCCCUGGUGCUUGGAGGGGUCCCAGGCCUCAUGGCAAGCUGAGGCCCACUGCAGCCCACACAUCCAGUCAGUCCUGGCAUAGUGAGGGAGGGGUGGCUGCUGACACAGGAUCCAGUGCAGAGGCCUCUGGUGGGGAAGACUGGCUCUGCCUUGAAUGUGAGUUGGAAAUCCAGAGGCUUUCAGAGCAGGCGUGAGCUGCAGACACAGACCUCUCAGCAGAAGGACUUGGAGCAGACUCUCCACUUUCUUGUAGUUUUAAGAAAGAGUCUGGACUGAAGAUGUGGCUCAGCCAAGAGCUCACACAAGCAAGGCUCUGAAUUUAUUCUUGUGCUGAAAAAAAGAGUUUGUUAUUUCUCUCUAUUUUGGCAUUCGUGUGUUAUUUGUUCAAUAUGUUUCUAAUAAUAGACGAGGAGUGUGGCCUACUGCAUGCCUGUAUAAAGUUUUAUUGGUACACAGUCUUAAACACACCCAUGUGUUUAUGCAUUUUCUGUGGCUUCUUUCGUGCUACAAUGGUAGAGCCGAGUGGUUGUGACACAGACUCUGUGGCUCUUAAGGCCCCAAAUAUUUACCCUUGGUGCUCUGUAGGGAAACUUCGUUGACCUGGAACUAUAAGGUGAUUUCACCAGAGUGAGGAAGAUAAGCAUCAUGGAAAAAUAAAUGCUGAGCAAUUAGUGAAUGAAUGAAGGACUUAGUUAAUUAUGGAGCAUGUUUCUCUUGGAAUCUGGGCAGAGGGGCUGGUGUAUGCUAAGCCAUGGGGCCAAGAAUUAGUACAGGACACACACACACACACACACACACACACACACACACACACACACACAAUUGGCAGUUUAGCAGAGUCAGUGUUUAUUGACAGAAGUCUUCUCUGUAGAGGUAAAAUUGAACCUUCAGACUCAUCAGGUAUCUAAUAAUUAAAGAUGGGGAAUUGUACUUCAGGUGAAGGGACCAGCAUAGUUAGAGUUUGGGAGGCCUGAGGGAAGGAAGUGGGCUGGGUACUGGGCACAGCCAACCACACUGAGCCUUGGUAUGCACUUGUUGGGGACAGUGGGCAGAUGAGAAGGUGGAAAUGUUUUGUGGGGCAUAGAAGGAGGGUUAUCAAGGAGUUGGGACUUUGUCCUGUGAGUGCUGGAGAGGUGCAGGGACUGUUAGUGAGGAUCCAGAGAGACUCAGGAAGAUGAGGAAUGCAAAAUCCUGGGAAGGCCACUGACUGGAGUCCCAUCUUCCAGGGCAAGGCCAAAGAGACUGGGAUGUGAGCAAACUCUGCUCUGCAGAUACGGAUGAGCCAGUUACCUGGAGGGAACACAGGACAGGCAGUUAAAUAUGAACUUUGGAUAAAACAAAACAAAACAAAACAAAACAUGUUUAAUAAUCAAUAUAGUCCAAAUUUGCAUGGCAGAUACAAGAUGAUCUGCUGUUUUUCCUGAAAUCUAGAUCUUUCUGCCUGCCUAGUGUUUUCAUUGAAUAAAUCUAUCAACCCAUUUGUGUAAGGAUUCUUCUGGCUGAGCCUGGCUCUUGGGUGGUGACUUCACGACCCCAAAUGUGUGCCCGUGAAGCAAGGAAGACAAGGAGAGUGGCUGGACACCAGCAGAGUAAGGACCAUGGGACCCGAUCUUUUGGUUUAUAGGAAAAGAAAUGAGGGUUUAGAGAACAGAAGGGCUUGGCUCCAGGCCACCAGCCAGGCUUGGUCCUGGAACUCUGCACCUUGCUGUGUUACCUUGACAGGAAGUUCUGGCUCUUGAGGGGGGAUAGGGUGGACCUGGGACAGCUAAGUUGCUGUCCACAGGAGAGCCUCCAGAGCUCGUGAACGGCUUCUGGAAUGUUCUGUACCAGCCGGGCCCCAGCAGGGGAUUCAGUGUGUAUUCACCAGUGCUCCCUCCCCCCUUCUGUGCCUCAGUUCACCCAGCCAUAAAGUGGGACUAAUUACACCCACCUCCCAGCUGAGUUGUGAGGGAUUAAUUAACGUUUGUAAAGGCUUUGUGAUCCUUGGAUGAAAGGCGUUCCUUACAUAGAAAGGGUCAUUAUUUUUAUUAUUAUUAUACAAGUGCCAAGUAUUAUUACCUUAAUUAGCUUUUCUAGAUAUCAGAAGCAAUUAAGACAGAUCACUUGCUGAAUGCCACUCUAAAAACCUAAGUCAUAGAAACUGGUACAAUUGUUUGUCAGCUCCUUUUUCUGGCUGGGUGCUGGGAUGGGCCACAAGAAAGGGCUGAGGUUUGUUGGAGAAAUUUGAUUUUGGUUCUAGUCAAGACUCACUUGAUGUUAAAAAUUUGGAGGUAUUUAAAGUUUGUUGAUAACAAAGCCUUUUUUUUUUUUAAAAAAAAAGUGGAAAUGUCCUUUUAAGUAGGGGUGUGUGUGUGUGUGUGUGUGUGUGUGUGUGUGUGUGUGUUGGAAGAUGUAGGGAGUUAGCAUUUCUUGGGCUAGGAUAGAAGUAUGCCCUGUGUUCCUUCUAUUCAGAGAAGAUAAGGCUUUUGCGUUCAUGCACACUUGAUGGGGUUUACCAUGGGCAAGGCCCUACACUCACGGGCAUUACUGUCUCCACAAUUCCAUGCCGAACUUUUUGACUCUUAUUUUAAAAUGAGAAUGCUGUGGCCUGGUGAGGUGAGGUGACAGCUAGGAAGGACAAGAAGAGAAUGCAAAUACACACCAGAUUUGAUGCCACUCCUUUGCGUUAACCUGGUCCUUAUGUAGUCAACAGAUUUUUUUUGUUCCUUCAGAGACUGAAUGGUAGCACACAGGGCUAACAGGUUCAUGCAGUGCUUGGGGCUGCCCAAUCUGCUCAGUAUUUGAACCCAAUGUGGCAUUGUUUUGCCUCUAGAGGGUCUUUAGAGUUGGCUUGGAACCUUAGGGAACAAAUAGAGGAGGGAACUGUGUUGUGGAUGUACCUAUUAAGGCAGGCAGGGCAGGCCAGGGCAGAAUCAGCGGGGUGAGGCUUCCUCCGUGCUGUCCAGUUAGCUGGGUGGGUACAGAGCUGGCUGUAAUUAACUUUACCAGCGUCCUUAGCAGAGGUGAGAGGACCUUUCCCCCACUUUCCUUUCUACUCUGUCCAGCUUCCUUUGUGGCUACACAGACCCUCCCAAAGCUGUGACUAGGCCAGGGAACACUGGAUUGAUUUCCAUUUCUGGUGUGCUCUGAAUUGAGCUCAUAUCUGAGAUCUACACACAACCCCUUUUCUGUGUAUGAACCUCCCUUGGGGGCAGGUUGAGGACAGUGUUGAAGUCAAUGGGUGCAUUUAGAGGUAGCUGGGGUGGAGGGUACAGGUUAUUAACAGUAUAAGGAGAGGUUCUUUAAUGGAUGAAUAGAUGGGGUAGUGGAUGUGGGUGGGUGUUCAUAGAUUAGACAUAGGUGGAUAGCUGCAUGCAUGCACAGAUUGGGGGAGCAGAGUCCACUGAGUGGAAGGGUUGCUAUGUGGGUUUUCCUGGUUGAUGAGAGUGGUAGAGAAACACAGAGACGUUGGAAAUUUUGGUGAAUGGGUGGCAAGUUUGGAGAAGGAUAGAGAGGCUGGCAAACAAGGAGUCGGAGGAAAGGAAGAGAUUAAUAAAUGUCUGAAGAGGUCGGUGGAGACAUCUGGGAGAUACCUGGAGCGUGGUCAGUGGGUAGAGAGGAUGUCAGGUGGAGAAGAGGUUGUGAAAUACGGGCACCAGUUAAUGGAUGAGGAGAUUGGCUGUAGGUUCUGAGGAAGCUGAAGGACUUGGUUGUGAGGGUGGGAAAAAAAAUCUGGCCCAUGAGAGAGUUGGGUGAAUAGAACUGGAGUUGGCAGCAAGGGAUAGGGGCUGGUAGACAGACAAGGCAUGGGUGAAAUCAUGGACAUUUGAUGGAUAGAUGCUUUGAUGGAUGAGUAGAGGUAGCAAAUAAAGGCUGACGGGCAGGUCAGUGGGGGAGGCAGCUUAUAGGAUGGAGUAUUGGCAGGUGUAGAAAGCAGUUGGCGAGGGUUGAGUUGAGGAGAUGCAGGGAGGUAGGAGGAAGGUGGCUAGUGGGAGGGUAGAACGCUUGACUGAAUGACAGAAGCCUGACCGACAGCUAGGACAGGUAAUAAGACAUGCCCAAUGGCUUGCUGUGACCAGCCUCUCCUCCUCACAUCUCCCCCCAGCCCCCACCAGAGUCAGACUGUCCCCAGGUUCAGAAAGCCCCAGCCCCAGUCCGGCAGGCUUUCUAUAAUUAUCCGAGAACAGUAGCUCAAGGGGUGGGGCAGGCAGUGCCUGAAGAAAGGAGCUGACUCAGAGGCAGACGUCCUUCUGUAAGUGGUGUGUCAAAUGUGGCCAGUGGCCAGCAAGCCAGGACCAGCACCCAAGGCUCCUCCUUUCCCACCGGCUGUCUUGAUACCCACUUUGGAUGCCUCCAUAGAAUGUGGACUCUUCUCUUCCUUUUUUGUUUCCAUUCAAUUCUUGUUUUCUUUCUUUUGUGCCUUGCUCGUUUUCUCUCUGUCUUGUAUCUCUGGGUGACUUUUCUUUUGCUGUCUCCGUUUCUCUCUCUUCCUCCUCUCUGCUGCUUUCUUCAGUCCGAUCAGUUUUCUUUUCUUACUCUUUCUCUCUGUUCUUUGCCUCUGUCUGCCCCUGGCAGCAGGAGCCUGUCCUCUAGAAGACACACUUCGUCACUGUGGAUCUUCACAUGAAAGCAGCCUGGUUAUGGUGGGGUUUUUCUCUUAGGCUUUGAUUAAGGCCCUAAAGUUCCAAGAAAACUUUGCCCUUCCUUUAUUGACUUAAAAAUGAAAAGCCAUAGAGACCCUUUAGCUCAGUGGUUCUCCACCUUUCUAAUGCUGUGACCCUUUAAUACAGUUCCUGGUGUUGCGGUGACCCCAACCAUAAAGUUAUUUUGUUGCUACUUCAUAACUAUAAUUUUGUUACUUUUAUGAAUCUUAAUGUGAAUGUCUUUGAUAUGUAAGGUACCUGAAACAUGACCCCCAAAAGGGUCACAACCCACAAGUUGAGAACCACUGCACUAGCAAGAUCUGGAGGGACAAAAUUAAAGAGAGCACCACUCUCUCUCCCUCUCUCUCUGAAGAUGAUAGGCACUAGGAGAAUGGCCUUUUUCUGAAGCAGUUGAAGAACUGAGGGAGGAUGUCAGAGACAGGAACCUGGCUCAGUCACAGGUGUUAACCUGGUUUUGAGUGAACUGUGUUACAUGACUUGAGUUUUCUUUUUAAUACGCCACAAUAGGCAAGAGUGCUUUUGAGUUUGAGGGCCCAGAAGCAAACUCCAGUCCCAGCACCAUCCAUCCACUAGCUGUGGUACAAAUGACUCAGCCCCUCUGAUCCUUACUCUGCCUUCUAUAAUUACUUAAGUAAGGUACUGGACCAAAGUCCUUGUGGCCAUGAAGAGCAGACCCAGAGCAGAUACAAAACACUCAAAAUAAUGCCAAAGUUUUUAUUGGGAGGGUCUGGUUCUACGCAAUGUGGGAGCCAAUCAUAUGGUCGAUAGGUGUCUUUUGCUUCCAUGUUUAGGCCUGAAGCCAACAGAGCAAGUAUUUGGGAGGGAAAGAAAGCCAGGAGCUAGACAGUGACGAGAGUGGGAAUCUAGGGUAGAGCAUGCAGGUGAUAGAGUCCACACUGGUCUCUCAUUCUGCCUAGUCUCCCUCUUUGAAGAUGCCUGUGGCCUGCUGGAGAAGCUGAUGCCUGAUUCUAAGCCAUUCUAUCAGAGUGAUCCAGAGUUGAGGAAGUUCGAAGCCUGGAGAAAGCAGAAGAGCUUAGAGGCCUGGGGCUGCCUCAGUACAACCAGGGGACCUUGUAGACCAGCAGGGAGCUUAUCAUCACAGCACACUGGUCUGUGUGGGUGUGUGUGCGCGUGGGUGCCUGUGUGUGUGUGUUUAUGUGUGUGUGUGUGUGUGCACAUGUGUAUCAGGUGUGCACACAUGUGUGCACCUGUGCAUGCUUUGCCAUCUGUGUCUACCCCAGAGUAUGAAAGAAGUCCAGCUGUGUCCUGACACUAACGUGUCCCUUGGUGUCUAAGCUGAUUCAGAAUAUACAGUCUUUGCUGAGUACAAAAGUCGCCACAAACCCCCAGUGGCCACGCUCUUAGGGCCUUUAAUAUUUUUUCAUCAUAUUUUUAUGAAGGACAUUACAAAUAUAUGCAUCUUGUUUCUAACAUAUUUUAGAAUACUUCAUCUGCUUUAGUUAACAAGCAUCAUAUAUACUUAUCUCAUCCAACAUGGUGUGGUUUUUUUUUUUUUUCUUUUGUUUUUCGAGACAGGGUGUUUCUAUGUAGCCUUGGCUAUCCUGGAACUUGCUUUGUAGACCAGGCUGGCCUCGGAUUCACAAAGACCUACCUGCCUCUGCUUCCCGAGCUCUGGGAUGAAAGGUGUGUGCCACCGUGUCCAAUAUGCUAUUUGGAUGGGUGUGUGUAUCCUGGGAUGGGUAAAUUGGGGUCAUUAACAUACACAUUACCUCACAUACCUUCUUUUGUAGCAAGAACCCUUAAAAUCUAAUCUCAUACCAAUAUUCAAGAGUGAAAUAUGUUGUUAUUAACUAUAGCCAUAUGUGAGCUUUUUUGCACUUAACUUUUUUCCUUUUAAUGGCCCAAUGUGAAUUCUGGACUGAAGUUAGCCUGUCUUUUUCUUAUGUGCUUUAGAGCUUUAGGCUAAACGUCGUAUUGCUAAAUAAACACUCCACGGUGUCCUUUACGUUCGCCAGGUGACUCCAAUGCACAAGUGGGCAUGGAAGCCACUUGUCCAUGUUGACAGUGACUAGGCACAACAGGGUAUACACAGGGCUCACGUGAAAUAGGUCCUUAAAUCCCAGGGCCGGAGAAGAUCAAGGUAGUAUGUCUAAUAAGGGAUGGCCCCUCCAUCUGGUCCAAGUACUAUAGUUCUGCUGUAUCACGUGGCCCCUGAGAGGAAGGGCAAGGAAGGGGCAUGGUGGCCAACUUCUUUUGCCUGCAUGUGUGUAUGGGGUGUGGGAUACAUUUGCAUGUAUGUAUGUAUGUAUGUAUGUAUGUAUGUAUGUAUGUAUGCAUGCAUUCAUGUGGAGGGUAAGGGACAGUCUUGGUGUCAUUAUUCAUGUGCCAUUGACUUUGUUCUUUUGGGACAGGAGCACUAGGCUGGCUAGCGAACCCCAGGAAAGUGCUUUAGCUCAUUCCUUCCAGUGCUGGGAUUGUAAGCAUGUGCCUAGCUUUUUGGUAUUGGUUCUAGAACUGAAUUCAGAGCCUCAUGUUGGCAAGGCAAGUACUUGACUGACUAAGCCAUCUCUCCAGCCCUGAUGUAGAUGAACUAUUUUUUUGACCUAUUCAUGAGAAAGAGUGCAAGAUAGAGCUGGGUUUAAGCAUCCCCCUCACAGACUCCGCACCCCUUCUUUCGUUCAUCUACAGCAUGCUCUGGAGACAGCACGUUUUACCUCUAGGAGCAUGACUGUGGUGAGGCUGGCCUAGCCCGCUUCCAGUGGCUAGUUUGGGUUGUGGAUGGAAAACGGGAGUCGAGGGAGCAGGGAGAGGAAUUGUCUUGUGUAACAGUUGGCUCGGCGUUAAAAAUCUGCGCUUCCUUUGUGUGUCUAGGAAGAGCUUCCCGUGGGGGUAGGAACUUCCCAUUUAAGGACUGUUCUUCCUUCUGUGUGCGGUGUUCAUGAGUGGAAGUGAUUCAUCACUUCCUGGUCAAGGAGUUUAAGUAGGAAAUAGAGCAGUGAUUCUCAACCUGUGGGUCUCAACCUUGUGGAGGGUGUCACAGAUCAGAUAUCCUGCAUGUCAGAUAUUUAUAUUAUGAUUCACAGUAUUAGAAAAAUUACAGUUAUGGAGAAGCAAUGAAAUAAUUUUAUGGUUGGGGGUCACAGCACGAGAAACUGCAGCAUUGGGAAGGUUGAGAAGCACUGAAGUAGAGCUUCCUGACUUCCGGCCGAUCUGCUGAGGAGACGCAGACAGUCGGUGCAGCCCUGGAUCCUCACGCUGUACCAGUUGGGGCCCAGGGGUUGAGUGCAGCAGUCUUCCACCCUCACCAGCCAGCAGGUGUUGGGUUAAAUAAUCACUUUAGAGGAAAUAAAAUCGCAGAGCCAGAAGCCAUCAGAAUUUGUGUAUUACAGUGUCUGGCAAGAUUCAAAUCAUGGCCCUUGCAACAAGACCAGCAGUGUCCCCUUGGAAGUUGUUAGAAGUGCAGAUUCUCAGGGACCACUGUCUAGAAGACAGUUUGAAAACUCGGACUAAGCCUGGUCACUGGGCUUUGACAAACUCCCAGGGGAUCCCAAGUUCUAACUCAGGCUAGAAAUCCCUGUCCCAGCCUACUCACAGCUUCAUGCAUAGCUCCUGAGUGGAACUUAGCUUCCCGGCCUCACAUCUGGCUUCUUACCCUCCCCCAAGACCACCUCUGCCUCCUAGGCACUUUCUGCAGAAGACGAUGGUAAUACCUGCUCUAGUAUUGUUUUAAUUAAAACAUUUAAUUUAGGGACUGAAAAGAUAGCUCAGUGCUUAGAAGCACUGUCUGCUCUUCCAGGGGCCUGGGGUUCAAUUCCAAGAACCUAGAUGGCAGCUCACAACUGUGUGUACUCCAUUCUAGGAUAUCCAACACUCUCUUUUGGCUUCCUUUGGGUACCAAGCACACACAUAUGUUGCACAGACAUAUAGACAGACAAAGAACCCAUAAACAAACAAACAAACAAACAAACAAACAAAUAAAUAGCUUUUAAUUCAAUUUGAUUUUGUGUGUAUGAAUGUUUUACUUGUAUGCAUAGCUGUACACCACGUGUGCUCCUAUUACCCACAGGGGCCAAAAGAGGGCAUCGAAUUUCCUGGAAUUGGAGUUCUAGAUGGUUUGUGAGUUACCAUGUGAGUGCUGGGAACUGAACCUGGGUCCUGUGGAAGAAGAGCUGGCACUCUUAACUGCUGAGCCAUCUUUCAUGUAAUUCUUGACCUGAAGGCAGCCUGAGAUGGUUCACUGACUCUAUCCCCACUUUUUCUUUCCCUUGUCGGCUACAGAGAAGCAUCGACAGUUAGCUGACUGGUAAGUUCCUCAAGAAGCUAAAACAUAUGGCUGGACCAACUGCCAUGGGGUGGGGUUUAUUGUCAGCCCUGUUUUGUAAAUGCGGAAAUAGAGACUCAAAGGGCAUGUAGGAUGGGGAAGAGGUCUAGGAUUUGAACCUGCCAUCUUCAUAUUGUUUCUGAGCUCUUCAAACUUCCAACCCCAUGUCUCCAGGUGACUGGUCUUCUUUAGACAGAACUUUGAACUGCAGCCUCAUUACCUCAGUGAUGGAAUCACACCAGGCUUCCAGGGACACAGACUUCUGUUUGGUUUAUGUCUGUGACUAUGAAUUCAAGACAUCAUACAGAGAGUGAGAGAACGAGCUAAGUAAUAGUACCGUUUGGUUCACUGAAACAGGUCAGUGAGAUGUUGUACAUCUAGAACCAGCUUGGAUCUCUACAGAGGGAGGAGACAUUUUCUGCAAAGGAGCUGGCACCCUGCUGUAAUUUCUGCAAUUGUUUGCAGUGGGGAAACAAAUGGCCCUGGUGCUUGUGGGCUGUGUGAAUUAGAACAGAGGUUCUCAAACUUGAACAUGUGUUAAGAUCUCUGUUAAGGCUUGUUAGAACACAGGUCCCUGCGACCCACCCCUAGAGUCUUCUGAUUUGGUUAGUCUGGAAUUGGGCCAACAAUUGCUUACAUGCCUCUGAUAUGGCUGCUCUCGGAACCACUCUAAAAAGCACUGGAUUAAGGUAAUACCAAUAUGGACCCAGAUAAACCCCCAUCUGUCAGCAGCCUAGGUCUGUGAAAGUAUCCUCAUUGAUUAAUGGGGGAAUGGCUAAACACAUGGCAAUAUGCUAUAUGACACAAUGAGUAGGAAGAAUCAGAUGUGAGUGAAUUAAUUCAAGUAUCAACAGAGAAAGGUAAUUUGUCAAAUAAUUUUUGUAGCAUGAUCCCAUUUUGGUAAAAACAAAUCCAAAAUCAAUAAUACAUUUCUUCAAGCCCUGAAUCCUAAACCAACUGAACAAAGAGGGGAGAACAUACCUGGAAUAAAGGUGUCAUUGGAAGUUGAGGGAGAACAGCUUGCUAACGGUACUCCUGUUUGUCUUUUCUUUUCUUUUCUUUUCUUUUCUUUUCUUUUCUUUUCUUUUCUUUUCUUUUCUUUUCUUUUCUUUUCUUUUCUUUUCUUUUUUUCGGAGCUGGGGACCGAACCCAGGGCCUUGCGCUUGCUAGGCAAGCGCUCUACCACCGAGCUAAAUCCCCAACCCCACUCCUGUUUGUCUUAAGAGGAUGAUUGUAAUUUUAAAAUUCAAGAAACAAUGAAAACUACUUCAGAAUCCCUUAAAGGAACAUUUGGGAUCCUGCUUUGUUUCUCCCCUACAGGAGAUGGGUAAUAUCCCUUUUUUCUAUCUACAGGUAAAAUAAUGUUUUUUUUUUCCCCUAGGGUCCUGGGCAAGGCCAGAUGAGCAAACCACACAGGAGGUUCCAGCCAGUGAUGCACUGGGAGUCCAGUCACGUCAUGCUACUUCAUGAUGCUCCUGACUAUAGGGGACAGAAGUAAGGAAGAGCCAAAGAAACCGGGUCAGGACUCACAUCUCACGGUCACAUGUAGCGAGAGGCACUGGUCCUAGCAUGGACACUGAGACAUGGCGCCUUCAGGUUGGAGGUCAUGGAUUAUUACAUUAGCCGACACCAGAAGUGAUUAGUAUGAUUUUUGUAUGUGUCAAGAUACAUUUGGAGAUGAACUUGAACUCACCGUGUGGCUGCAGUGUGGCUCUUUCCGGACAAAGAAUCCCCAUCUUGGUCUCUAACUGCUCUUCCCUGGUUCCCUUUCCAGGGCCCACACAGUUCUUUACAUCAGUCAAGUCCAAACUCACACCUCCAGUCAGGUAGACGUGUUUCAGGUUAAUUAGGGGCCUCAGUCAAUUUAGUUCAUGGGCUGUAAUUACAAGCACCUAAGACCUGCAAUUUCUGUUUUAAUUAAAAUAAACAGUGUGGAGGGGCUGACAUCACAUCAGGGCAACUGGUGUGCAAGGCUGGGUAAUUACACUAAAACAGAGCUUCUUGCUGUGGUGUAGUCUAUUGGGAUCCAUGGUGGAGCACUGGGCAUGGCUGUCCUGGUGAAUGCUAAUUACCUCACUGCCAGUCACAGCUCUAACCAGACAGGUUGGUUAGUGGUGGUGAUGACUUUAGAACAUGCUCCUUUCAAGUUAGAGCUGAGCUGUGACCCGUGGGGCAUGGGUGUAUUUACAUACAAGAUGUCCAUUUAAAUGUAUUUAACUGUGACAAGCUUCCAUGCACCAACUCGAUGAUAGGAAACAAUUCUUAUUUUUAACUGCUGGUUUUAGGGUUCCUUUUGGGGAGGGUGUUACCCCUCCUUAGGAAAAUAAUAGUUCAUUUGGAAAAGGUAAUGCACCUCUUGACUGGUCAUCCUUAGGAAUAACAGAAUGUGGGGAUGGGGUGGAGCUGAGGAAAGGAAGCAGAGAAGGGAGGGGAAAGAAGCAGAGAGCAGAGUGGGAGGGCCAAGUGUGAGGAAAGGGCACCCAUUCACACGUGACAAGCUGGCCAGGGUGGCCAGAGGAAGUGUUAAAACAACACACUUAAUGCAUAGUUUAAAACUGUUUUUGCUUUGCUUUGCUGUCAACAGCCCCCCACACCCUGGCAUUGCACACCGUCAGUUAUUAACAAUCACCCACGUUCCCUGAUCAGUUUUUCUUGUAUGUGGGUUGCUGAUCCAGGCAGGGUUUAAUUCUACAUUUGAGUUAGGUAAGUAGGAUAUCACACAGAAAUAAAACACUGAGCAUUGUGAAAAGGGAUCUAGAUGUGGUCUCAGAUAUAUGUUUCCAGGGACUUUUAGACAUCUGGAGUCCGGAGGAGGCUCACCAUGGGUCAGGAGAGACAGUCCGUAUUUGUCUAGGAAAAUAAAUCUUGCUUUAGCACUCAGCUGCUUGGAACCUUCCACCAGUUUCCCAUUGUUUCUAGAGUAAAGAAUAUGCUCAUUUAAAUAUUGGGAUUGGCUGAAAUAAAACUCCAGAGCUCUCUGGUCCUAAUCCUGCAAA